GUGGGUACGGCUCAGUGGUAGAGCGCAUGCUUAGCAUGCAUGAGGGCCUGGGUUCAAUCCCCAGUAACUCCA
rnacentral:tRNA from 1 species